rnacentral:rRNA from 1 species
AUUGAACGCUGGCGGCAGGCCUAACACAUGCAAGUCGAGCGGAUGAAGGGAGCUUGCUCCUGGAUUCAGCGGCGGACGGGUGAGUAAUGCCUAGGAAUCUGCCUGGUAGUGGGGGAUAACGUCCGGAAACGGGCGCUAAUACCGCAUACGUCCUGAGGGAGAAAGUGGGGGAUCUUCGGACCUCACGCUAUCAGAUGAGCCUAGGUCGGAUUAGCUAGUUGGUGGGGUAAAGGCCUACCAAGGCGACGAUCCGUAACUGGUCUGAGAGGAUGAUCAGUCAAACGGGAAGGAGCAGUCGCACAGUGAACUGAGGAGAGAGAGCAGUAGAGAAUGUGGAAGAGGGGGCGAAUGACUGAGCAAGGCUGGGAGUGUGAGUGAAGAAGGUCUUAGGUGUGGAUAGAUCUGUAGGGUGGGAGGGAGGACAAUAAGUUAAUACCGUGGUGUUUUAACGUUACCAACAGAAGAAGAACCGGAUAACUUCGUGCCAGAGGCAGGUGUAAUAGACGGAAGAGCACACGUAUGAAC